rnacentral:rRNA from 1 species
ACCCGCACAAGCGGUGGAUGAUGUGGAUUAAUUCGAUGCAACGCGAAAACCUUUACCUACCCUUGACAUGUCCGGAAUCCCGAAGAGAUUUGGGAGUGCUCGCAAGAGAACCGGAGCACAGGUGCUGCAUGGCUGUCGUCAGCUCGUGUCGUGAGAUGUUGGGUUAAGUCCCGCAACGAGCGCAACCCUUGUCAUUAGUUGCCAUCAUUUGGUUGGGCACUCUAAUGAGACUGCCGGUGACAAACCGGAGGAAGGUGGGGAUGACGUCAAGUCCUCAUGGCCCUUAUGGGUAGGGCUUCACACGUCAUACAAUGGUCGGUACAGAGGGUUGCCAACCCGCGAGGGGGAGCUAAUCCCACAAAGCCGAUCGUAGUCCGGAUCGCAGUCUGCAACUCGACUGCGUGAAGUCGGAAUCGCUAGUAAUCGUGGAUCAGCAUGUCACGGUGAAUACGUUCCCGGGUCUU